GAUUAGGGUAGUAUUGGAUGUUAAAGUACCUGAAAUGAUGAAGAAUGUCUGUACAUUCUUCUAGAUUUGUUUCAGUCCUAAAAUAUUAUAUUAGUUAUAAUGUAUGUGAAAAUAUCCUUACUAUUAGAAUUGCUUAUCCUUUCUCAAAUUUUUUAGUGGCUUAGUACUUAGUACUUCCACCGCUGUAUGCCAUAGCUGCAAUAAGCAAGCAGUAACAGGAGCCACCAUCCCACCUUUGUCAGGUCACAAGGCAGAAUCAGAAACAAGUCUACCAAAAAAUGUCAUCCCUAAUAAUUUCUGGUACUUUAAUUUUAAAGUUUUAGUUGAUAUUCAUCCAAUCAAAUAUAUAGCUGAGGUAUAUGUUUGUGAGAAAUUGAACUGUUUAGGGUGGUGGGUUACACUCACUCCCCUAAUCAUGUAUUCUGUUUCCUUCCAGACAUCCCCCAUUUGAGACCAGCGCCAGUGUAUGUACAUUACUACAACUCAAGACAAUGAAAACAUUUAUAGUAUAAAAAUUCCAUACAUGGCAGUUCACAUUGUUUUUAUUAAAUGGAUUAUAAAUUUCUUUUUGGAAAUAAAGUAUCUAGCUAUAAUCCAAAACACUCAAAAUCGAGUUGCUGUACUGCCCCAUAUCAAACAGGUGUCUUUCCAUUGUCUCUUCUCAAGACCUAGGAAAAGCAGCCUUUGAGGAUUCGUUUGGAUUGUGAGGCGACGUCUCCUUCUCCGUGACAACUUCAGCGGACCGUGACCGGGCCACGAUAGUGGUGCGGACCUCGUCCCAAUAUAGAUCAAGGAAGCUCUAGAGUCAGCUUUCUCGGAGGGAUCAUUUCAUCCCACUCCUAACUCAUGCUCCUUACCGAGUCUCUACUGAAUAUUGUGACUUAGCCAGAAGAACACUUCCCUCUGGCUGGUUGGAACUCCAAUGACCUCUAGCCUUGUAGGAGUCUUGGCAACCAUCUGGUUCCAUUGCCUUGACUCUUUGUCAGAACCUGGAGCAUUUUCUAAGACACACACUGCUACCUAUGGACCAAGGACUCAAGAGGACUCCAGUGUGUAUUUCCAAGAGUUUGAUUUCUACUUGACUUACUUCUCUCUUGAACCCAUGGCCUUUUCAUCACUCCAGCCUUCCUGAAUCCCAAUCUCUCUUUCCUCACAGCAGGGAGACUUCCAUCUUUUCCUUGGAAUCUCCUCCCUACGUGCACCAUCCAGAACUAUUCCAGGUGAAAAUUCAAGUGAAUCCUGGGGCUCAGUUUUUGUUUGUUUGCUUGCUUGCUUGCUUGCUUUCCUUUUCACAUGGUUUUCAAGUGUCCGUUUGUUUUCAAUGUUUUAAAGAGUUAUUUAUAUAGAUAGACAUAGAUAUAGAUAUACAUAUAGAUAUAGAUAUAAACAUAUCUAUAGAUAGAUAGAUAGAUUUUUUUCUCUUUUCCAAUUCCUCAUGGGCUUCUGAUUGGUUACUUUUCCUCUAACAGGGUUGUAUUAGCUUUCUAGGGGUGCUAUUACAAGAUACCACAAGCCUAGAGGCUGAAACAACAGAAGUGGACAGUAUCACAGUUCUAGAGGAUACAGUGUUCGUAGACCAUGCUCCUUUUGGAGGUAUUAUGGGAGGAUCUGUUCCAGGCCACUUUCCCAGCUUGAUGCAUUUGGACUUUGGACUUCUUCACAUGGCCCUCUCCCUCAGUGCAUAUCUGUGUAUCCACAGUCUCCCUUAGAAGGACACAAGUCCUCCUGAAUUAGGGGCCCAGGCUAUUCAAAUAUGAUCUCAUCCACACUAGUUACAUCUCCAGGGACCCUAUUUUCAAAUAAGGUCACAAACCCAGGUGCUGGGGUUUAGGACUGGGAUAGUAUAUAUGCAUACACACACAAACACACACACACGUGUGUGUGUGUAUG